AGUUAUGGCACCGAACCCAAGGUUGAGAAAAAUGAAGAGAUUAUUACAAUAACAUCAUGGCAAAGGCCGCCCAUAACUAGAAGUUAUUUGGGUUGUGGGGAUAAUUUGAAUGACGGUUCGUCAGGACAGACCUACAUCAUCUCCACCUUGGAGCUCCUACCCGGUACAGCCAUCUCAAAUACCCGAAGCAUCCCGUUGGGUUCAUGCACAUUCUUCCGAAUAGUGUGGUCUUACAAAAGCAUUCAUCAUCUACUUCACAAGCCUGGUGGCUUCCAUGGAGGAAGAUGAAGUCCAGUCCGAGGAAUACGAAGAAUUUCCGCCAAACACG